ensembl:snoRNA SNORD96 Small nucleolar RNA SNORD96 family
GAUCCUGGUGAUGACAGAUGACAUUGUCAGCCAAUCCCACAAGGGAAUGAGGACAUGUCCUGCAAUUCUGAGUGGAUU